rnacentral:lncRNA from 1 species
GCUCAAUUCCAAACGGAACUAAAGAUAAAGGAAGCCCUUCGUUCAGACAGAGUGCAAGACGCGUCUCUUUUUGAGAAAAGGCACCAGAUUAGGGGGGAACUCUUCUAUCCGUUUGGGAAGCCAUUAUCCUUGGACACUUACUUAGACCACCUAUCUCAAAUAGAAAACUAUGGGACCCACCGCAGCCUGCCUUAUAAAAGGGUUUUGAAAGCGAUUGCUCAGCAGGACUUAGCGUUGGUCUUUGACUCAAUCAAAAGAAAGAGAUACUGGUAGAGCUCUU